CUGUGCUUAAAGUGAGUGUUUAUUUCUAACAGCUGUCAUGAUGUUUCACUGUUUAUUGCUUCUAUUUUCAGCAAUGGUGGGUGACAGCCUUGGACAGGAUACAAUCAUUUCCACAUCUAAAGAAGAGCAUGUUUUGGCUGGCAGCCAUGUUACUCUGUCCUGCAACUACUCAGCUGCUAGUGUCAACAGUCUACAGUGGUAUCGCCAGCACCCUGGAUCCAAACCAGAAUUCCUCAUCCUGAUCCUCUUCUUUGGAAGUGAAGAGGAAAAGACAAACAAGCAGUUCACCGUAAAACAUGAUAAAAAUAACAAGUUUGUGCAUCUGGAGAUCUCCUCUGCUGAAGUGGCCGACUCUGCUCUGUACUACUGUGCCCUGCAGCCCACAAUGACAGGAAACCCAUUUAUGCCAUACAAAAACCUGAUAGCUACCACCUGAUACAAAAUGGCAAAUAUCCAUUUCCUGUAAAUUGGUAUAUACUACCACUAAUAAUCAUAUUUUGACAAAACUUGAAACAUUAAUUAUAACAUAAAAAAUGGUCAAAAAGAUCGCUGGAAAAACAACGCUGGACAAACACCACUGCACUUGGUCUCAGUGUGCUGUAAUGUCUACAGACUUCCACAAGAUGUCGC